AUUGAGCACAGGUACAUGCCUGUAAUUGUAUGUGUAUGGAGUAGAGGUACACGCCUGUGACCUUAUGUGUGUGUAUUGAGCACAGGUACACACCUGUAAUGAAAGGCACCUAGGAUCCCAAAAGCAUUAACCUGACCAAGAUCCAAAUGUAGUUUUUGGACGCCAACCUCCCCUCCCCAUUUUCAGAACUCGUAUUUAUUAAAAACAAGCUACAUUUUCAGAUGCAUCUGCCUUCUCUCUUGGCACGUUAGGCAGUAAUCCUGCUGGCUGUGGUUUGAAUCUUUCGAAGCAGAAUUUAUAUCAAACACAAAGCCCAAGGCAGAAAUGUAUAUAUACCUUCAGUUAUUGGAGGGGAAGUCAAGAAAGGUGCUGUGCUUUGACAGGUGCUGCCAGAGAUGCGUGUGUCUGUCACCCAGGGAUGCGGGCAUCUGUUUACCUCUGUGCUGAGCAGGUGAAAAUAGAAGGCUGGGAGACCUUGACUUUGGUUGAAAUAUUAACAGAAUAAAGCAGGUAAAGUUGUUUUGAGAGUCACGGCCCCACUCUUCACUGCUAGUUUAUGUAGACGGACACCACGUGUGAGCAUUCAAUGCUGCGGGAGGCAGAGGCAGGCAGAUCUCUGAGUCUGAGGCCACCCUAAUCUACAGAGUGCAGAGUGAGAUUCAGGACAGCCAGGGCUCCAGAAAAACCGUCUCAGACAAACAAACAAACCUGUGUAACAACAACAACAAAGGCGCUGACUCUGGGAUUUAAGUGCUUGGUUGAUUUUUACUGUUAUGGCUUCUAAAAGAUAUCUUGUUCAUGACGACUUUAAAACCGAGCUACAAGAGAGGAGGCCCAAUAGUUAAGAGCACUGGCUGCUCUUGCAAAAGAACCUGGCUCAGUUCCCAGCACCAACAGUAGUUCUCAACUGUCUGUAACUCCAGUCUACAGAUCUGAUGCCCUUUUCUGGCCCCUUCAGACACUAGGCACGCAAGUGUGCACAGACAUACAUGCAGAUAAACACCGAUACACAUGAAUAAUAAAGUAAAAGC
ensembl:lncRNA